AGUGCCUUGGUUACCCGCUCCCGGGCUUUGUGAUUGGUUGGCUGUGGGGGGAGAGGGGGUGGGGGGGAGGGGGGCAGUAGGCUGCUGAUGGAGCUGCGGCAUCCCUUCGGCUGGGGCCCCGGGAGGGGGAAGGGAAAAGACCGAGCAGUGGAGGGAAGAGGGAGCCAUUUCUCUCCACUGGCUGCGACCUCCGUGCUCACAGCUCACAUUUGCCCGGAAUCCCGAGGCCUCCUCGGCCGAGGACUCCAUCAUGCUGGAUAUUUUCAUCCUGAUGUUCUUUGCCAUCAUAGGCCUGGUCAUUCUGUCCUACAUUAUCUAUCUGCUCUAGCUGCGGCGGGGAACCCUCAGAACAGCUUCGGGGGGGAAGGAUGGAGCUGACCGGCCGAGCAUCCUGCUUUGCUGACGCACCGGUGGAUUUUUGCUUCUGGUCGUUAUUUCGGCUCCUGGUCUCCACUCCAACCAGAGACCUCUUAGCAGCAGUCCUGCUGCCCAGCAGACCUCUUCCAGAACCUUCCGGAUAUGGCUAACCACUGUGGAGCAAGGGGCUUUUUGAGCCCAGAGGCAGAGGGGCACUCAGCCGGGACGUCAGGAAUUCGUGGGCAAGGCUGGCAGAUGCUGUGUGCGUUUGAGCUGUGGAUAGAAGGUGUUGAGGACACAGAGCUGAAAUGCAGACUCAUGAAAGUCACCACGGAGAACUGCGCACAUAUCCAUUUUGAUAGCCUCUCUCUAGGUGUAAAUGCAACUGCGUAUUAUGCUAAAGUAUAUUGGCAACUUGGAAUCACCAGUGUUUUCAUAAAUAAAUGGAUUAGGUUUUCCAAAGCGUGUAUAGGAAAAAGAGUGAGAGAGGGAGAAGAAAAGGCUAAAAUCAAGGUAUUAUUUUGUACUCUGGUAUCUGCCAACUUUUAA
rnacentral:lncRNA from 1 species